AUACGUAGGGUACAAGCGUUAAUCGGAAUUACUGGGCGUAAAGCGUGCGCAGGCGGUUUUGUAAGACAGUGGUGAAAUCCCCGGGCUCAAACUGGGAACUGCCAUUGUGACUGCAAGGCUGGAGUGCGGCAGAGGGGGGUGGAAUUCCGCGUGUAGCAGUGAAAUGCGUAGAUAUGCGGAGGAACACCGAUGGCGAAGGCAAUCCCCUGGGCCUGCACUGACGCUCAUGCACGAAAGCGUGGGGAGCAAACAGGAUUAGAUACCCUGGUAGUCCACGCCCUAAACGAUGUCAACUGGUUGUUGGGGAUUUAUUUUCUCAGUAACGAAGCUAACGCGUGAAGUUGACCGCCUGGGGAGUACGGCCGCAAGGUUAAAACUCAAAUGAAUUGACGGGG
rnacentral:rRNA from 1 species